rnacentral:rRNA from 1 species
GACGAACGCUGGCGGCGUGCUUAACACAUGCAAGUCGAACGAAGUGGAGAACGGGGGAGUAACGCGUAAACAAACUGCUCUUCAGAGGGGGAUAACAGUUUGAAACGACUGCUAAUACCGCAAACUGAAGGAGGGGCUUGCGUUGGAUUAGCUAGUUGGGGGGGUAACGGCCCACGAAGGCGAUGAUCAGUAGUCGGUUUGGGAUGAUGGAUUGGCAAAAUGGGACUGAGAAACCGCCCAGAAGCCUACGGGGGGCAGAAGUGGGGAAGUGUCCGCAAUGGAAGAAAGUCUGACGGAGCAAAGGCGCGUGAAUGAUGACGGCUUUCGGGUUGUAAAGCUAUUGUAAUUGGGACGCGGUACCGAAAUAGAAAGCCACGGCUAACUACGUGCCAGCCGCCGCGGUAAUAC